GGUAUUGGGGGGCUAUGGGGGGCUAUGGGGGGUAUAGGGUCAGUUAUGGGGGGAUAUGGGGGGGUUAUAUGGGGAUAUGGGGGCACCUACGGCUGUAGGGCCGUCAACGAGAUGGGGGAGGCCACCACCGAGUGCCGCCUGGACGGCAGGGUGCCCCAAUGAGGAUCGCAUCGCAGAGCGGCGUUUUGGGGUGUUGCAUCGCCGCCCGCAGUGCCAAUAAAUGCAGUGUGUCCGUCCGACCGCCUCCGUCUGUCCGUCCUCUGCGCCGUGGGGCUGCCCCAUAAGUGUCCCCCCAGCCCCAUAAGUGACCCCUCCAGCCCCAUAGCGACCCAUAGAGACACAUAGAGACCCCACAGGGACCCCAUAGAGACACAGAGACUCAUAGGGUUGCAUAGAGACCCAUAGGGACCAACAGUGCCCCAUAAAGAACACAUAGAGACCCCAUAGGGACCAACAGUGCCCCACAGAGGUCCCAUUGAGCCCCAUAGCGACCCAUAGAGACCCAUAGGGACCCCAUAGUGACCCAUAGAGACCCAUAGAGGCCCACAGAGUCCCAUAGGGACCCCAUACGGACCCACAGAGACCCAUAGAGACUCAUAGAUACCCCACAGAGCCCCACAGAGCCCAUAGAGACCCAUAGGGACUCCAUAGAGACCCAUAGAGACCCACAGGGACCCAUAGUGACCCAUAGAGACCCCAUGGUGCCCCAUAGAGAC
ensembl:lncRNA